AACGUUGUUGCAGUUAAAAAGCUCGUAGUUGAAGUGUGGGAGGUGCCAUCUGUGAAGCUUCGGCUUCUAAGAUGAUCACUACCCCCUUCCAGUAUCCAGUAGUGGGUAUUCAGUUACUUACUAUUGUGUGUUGGUCGUUUACUGUGAGAAAAUUAGAGUGUUCAAAGCAGGCGUUUGCUUGAAUAGAUUAGCAUGGAAUAAUAAUUGAAGGCUUUCGUGUUCGAUUUGAUUGGUUUGUUCAUGGAAGCAAGGUUAAAAGGAACAGUUGGGGGUAUUCAUAUUCACUAGUUAAAGGGGAAAUUCUCGAAUUUAUGAAAAAUGA
rnacentral:rRNA from 1 species